rnacentral:rRNA from 1 species
UACGAAGGGGGCUAGCGUUGCUCGGAAUCACUGGGCGUAAAGCGCACGUAGGCGGAUUGUUAAGCGGGGGUGAAAUCCUGGAGCUCAACUCCAGAACUGCCUUCGAUACUGGCGAUCUCGAGUCCGGGAGAGGUGAGUGGAACUGCGAGUGUAGAGGUGAAAUUCGUAGAUAUUCGCAAGAACACCAGUGGCGAAGGCGGCUCACUGGCCCGGUACUGACGCUGAGGUGCGAAAGCGUGGGGAGCAAACAGG